rnacentral:rRNA from 1 species
CGCAGCCGCGGUAAUUCCAGCUCCAAUAGCGUAUAUUAAAGUUGUUGCAGUUAAAAAGCUCGUAGUUGAAUUUCGGGGUUAGUAGGUUGGUCGUGCCACCGGUAUGUACUGGCUCUACUGAUCCCUCCUUCUUGUAGAACCGUAAUGCCAUUAACUUGGUGUUGCGGGGAAACAGGACUGUUACUUUGAAAAAAUUAGAGUGUUUAAAGCAGGCUAACGCUUGAAUACAUUGGCAUGGAAUAAUGAAAUAGGACGCUCGAUCCUAUUUUGUUGGUUUCUAGGAUUGACGUAAUGAUUAAUAGGGAUAGUUGGGGGCAUUAGUAUUCAAUUGUCAGAGGUGAAAUUCUUGGAUUUAUUGAAGACUAACUACUGCGAAAGCAUUUGCCAAGGAUGUUUUCAUUAAUCAAGAACGAAAGUUAGGGGAUCGAAGACGAUCAGAUACCGUCGUAGUCUUAACCAUAAACUAUGCCGACUAGGGAUCGGAUGAUGUUAAUUUUUUAAUGACUCAUUCGGCGCCUUA